UUGAGGGAGAGGUGCGGACCACUGGAGCACUGUGCUAAGACUCCGGGGACUAAUGUAUGCUGGGCAAAUGCUCUAACAACUGGGCUACAGACCCGUCUUCACUCCAGAGGUCGUCUCUGACUCUUCUAUGAUGAAGAAAUGGCUUCCCUUUAUAGGGAGGGUGUCCUGCUGAGCCCCGGGAAAGACCUCUUCUGUCACUCCUAAACACAGGUGGGAUGUAGAGAGCACGGAAGUGGUCUGCAGCACAAAGGGCUCCUUGCCUGUGGGAGGCAGCCAGUGAGCUGACCCUUGAGAGACACCAUAUGAACAUGUGACCUUGGAGAGGAACCCC
rnacentral:lncRNA from 1 species